rnacentral:rRNA from 1 species
CCUACGGGGGGCAGCAGUGAGGAGUAUUGGUCAAUGGUCGGGAGACUGAACCAGCCAAGCCGCGUGAGGGAUGAAGGUACAGAGUAUCGUAAACCUCUUUUGUCAGGGAACAAAGGCGGGGACGUGUCCCGGAUGAGUGUACCUGAAGAAAAAGCAUCGGCUAACUCCGUGCCAGCAGCCGCGGUAAUAUGGAGGAUGCGAGCGUUAUCCGGAUUUAUUGGGUUUAAAGGGUGCGCAGGCGGUCUGGUAAGUCAGCGGUAAAAGCCCGGGGCUCAACCCCGGCCCGCCGUUGAAACUGGCAGUCUCGAGUUGGAGAGAAGUAUGCGGAAUGCGCGGUGUAGCGGUGAAAUGCAUAGAUAUCGCGCAGAACUCCGAUUGCGAAGGCAGCAUGCCGGCUCCACACUGACGCUGAGGCACGAAAGCGUGGGUAUCGAACAGGAUUAGAUACCCGAGUAGUC